GGGGCAUUGCCAUUGGGGAUUAAAGGACCAGGGAAUUGUUUGGUGAGGUUUUUUUUCUUAUUUUUUAUAAUAUUGUUUGCCAAAGAGGAAAGGAGAACAGUGGUGGAGACCGGACAGCCUGUGUUGGAAGACUGCUGUCCUCGUCGUCCUCGUCUUCCUCCUCCUCUUCCUCCUCCUCAGGGGGCUUCUCGGGCUCCUCGCGGUGGUGGUGCAACUCGAUGAACAGGUAGUAGAUGACAGCUGCGACCACACCGCCCACCAUGGGCCCCGCCACAGGGAUCCACCACCAGUAUUCUGCAGUGCUUUACCUGAAGACCUCCAUCCCCCAUCCAGCUACAGCUGUGAACAGUCGGGGUCCCAGGUCUCUGGCAGGGUUCAGGGGGUAUCCACAGUUCAGUCCCAUGGAAACGCCGAUGGCCAUGAUGAUCAGACCUAUA